CCAGGGCUGAGGCGCCGGGCUGCAGGGUGUGGUGUGAGGCUUUCCAGGGGCCGAGCCCUGCCACUCCUGGAGGCUUCUGUGCCCUACCGCACCCAGCUGCAGGGGCACGCUCCCCACCUGCUCACCUUUGAAGCCCUGCCUUGCGCCCCACCCUGUGGUGCCUGCCCCCCAGGGUGCGAACCCAGUGCCCUUUGGGUCCCCAGCCCCGCAUCCUCCCUCUCCACGGAGACUGGGGCGCGGGGCGCUGUCCACCCAGCUGGUCCCUUUAGGACGCGGGACCCAGCCGGUCCGUGGCCACCUGCGCCCCCGGGCCCGCUUCUCCUCUGCUGGGCAGUGUCGCAGUGUCUAUUGGAUUCGGUGCUGGAGAGGCCUGAGGGGUCCUGCUCCCUUCUCACCCUAAUGCAUAACCUUCUGUCAGCUUCUCCCCCUGGGGGCUCCUGUAAAUGGCUGUGGGGAUUAACCUGCAGCAGAGCUCUCUCCUCGUGCUGCUCCUGGGGAAGAGGACAGCGAGUACCAGCCGGGCUGCUGUUGGAUAGCGCGCACAUUCUGAGAGGAACACCCAGCUGGCUUUUAUUAAUUGUCUGCAUUCCCGAGCUUUGUCCUCCUGGCGGUGUGGAUAAUUUCUGUUUAAAAGACAAUUUGCUGUUUUCACAGCAGUCCUGGUUAUCAAAUUCCUUACCCUUCUUCUUAAACUACAAAUAGCAGUGCCGCUUCAUCUGCACACAAAGAUCCUUGUUCCUGGCCGGGGACAAGUCCCCGACAGAGGUCCGGGUCACCGCCUGUGUGGCCGGCCGUGUGGGCUGUGUGCGUGGCACCUGUUGCCCAGCCCGA
rnacentral:lncRNA from 1 species